CCGCCUCUGCCACUUGUCAGCCGUGUGACUGUGGGCCAGUCACUUUCACUUCUCUGGGCCUCAGUUCCCUCCUCUGUAAAAUGGGGAUGAAGACUGUGAGCCCCACGUGGGACAACCCGAUUCCCCUGCGUCUACCCCAGCGCUUAGAACAGUGCUCUGCACAUAGUAAGCGCUUAACCAAUACCAACAUUAUUAUUAAUCCAGGGGAUGGACACCUCAUGAACAAAACACAAAGGGGAAUAAAAACUGUUUAUUGCCCUCUUGAUAUUAUUGAUGAAGAUGGAUAAAGUGAUCAUUGUUUAUCAGUGGGAUUCAUCGCACCAUGACCAGGGUCCGGAGGCCCCGACCGAGGCCUUGGGGGAGGCCGGGGUCGACGGGGGCGCGCGCGUCGGGGGAGGGGGGCGCGCGCGUCGGGGCCCGGCGGCUCCUCGUGCCGCCAUUGGGCGGGCGGGUGUGACGUCAGGACGGGGCUCCGGGGCGCGGGGCGCAGGCGCGGAGGCGGGAGGGCGGGGGGGGCGGGGUCCCCCCGUUUCCCUGGUUACGGAGGGCGGAGGUUGGCGGGCGGCGAGGUCCAGGCCCAGCCCGAGGCCCGGCCGGCGGUGGCGGCGGCAGCGGGAGCGGCAGCGGCCUCCUCCUCCUCCUCCGGCCUCCUCCUUUUCCUCCUCCUCCUCCUUCUCCUCCGGGCCGCGUUGGGGGCAGGCGAAGCUGUAAUUCCGGGAACCGGCCCUCACCCCGUCUCAUGAGUCCAGCUCCGAAAGCAGCUAAAUGUUACAGAGGUCGUGAGAUUCUGGUAAGUGGCCUUCGCGGCUCACGUGAUGAGCGCAGGAGCCCGAAGAGUCCCGUGUUCCCCACCGGCAUUUCGCUGGGCUUCAGUUCCCUCCUCUGCAAAAUCCGGAUUAAGACCCUGACCCCCACGCGGGACAUGGACUGAUGAUCUUCUAUCUUCCCCAGAGCUUAGCACGGCGCUAGGCGCAUAGUACGGGCUAUCCAGAUACCGUACCGUAUUGGAAAUCAUCAUCAAGCAUCAGUAGCGUUUAUCGAGGGUCUGUUGUGGGCAGAGCACUGGACUAAACCCUUUGGGAGAAUACAUCAGAGUUGGUAGUCACGUUCCCUGCCCACAACGAACGUACGGUCUAACGGCGAUCUUACGGUCUAGAAAAGGGGUGUUUUUCUUUGAGCGGGGGCUCUUCCAAAAGAUUGUGACACAGAAAGACGGGGAAAGGGAGAGAAAGGUGAAAAGAGCACUGCGGAUGGCAGACGCUACUGUAUUCUGCUCUCCCAAGCGCAUAGUACAGAGCUUUGCGCACAGUACGAGCUCAAUAAAUACGAUCGAAAAAGUGAAUGAAGAUGCCUGAAUGGGCCUGGCGAUGAUCUGUAUGUGCACACAAGAGGAAGGGACUGGUGGUCACACAUCCGUCUUAUCUGUCACCCUUGUUUGCCCUGGUAAAAUCUCAUCACAAUCAGUACCGUCUCUGGACUCUGAGGGACAGCUAUACCCGUGUAAAAUAUAAAAUAGGGAAAUUUCAGCCCCCAAGUGAAAAUCAAUUAGUCCUAAUGACUUUUUUCUCUUUCCUCCUUUUGGGUUAUUUAAGUUUUUCACUUCUUAUUUUUCUCCUCAGUAUUACUUGAUUGCAUAUUUAUUUCCCCCUUUCUCUUUGCGUGCAAAUCUUCGCUUUUCCUUUCCGAGAGUAAGGAGAGCCGUGAGUCUUGCCCGGGGUUAUUUUUGACUCUGGUCCGGGGGCCAUGGUAAGAGAUGAAGUGUAGCUCAGAUCUACUCUUGUUGGCUUUUUCUCCCAACCCCAUCUGCCAUGGGAGAAUGAAGAUAGCAUUCCGUGAAUUUUUUUUUUUUUUUGGUUCAUUCGUUUGGCACUUUCAAGGGGCGCUUCUCUCCCGAAACCAUUGCGGAAUCGGUCUUCCUUUGAGUAGAGUGGGUGUUAAAUGGACUCAAGCCAGAAUCCUAGAGCUGCAAGGAAUUCAGGCAGGGCACCCGGGCCAGACUUUGCCUUCGGGCAAGUGGGAAAAACUCCUAAACCCGGUAGUCCAUCCGGGCUAGAAUUUUG
rnacentral:lncRNA from 1 species